UUGCUUUCUCUGCCAUAACUGUUUGUUUCAUUCUUCAACCUUAUACUAUGCGCUCAUUCAUUCUCUCAUAAAACCAAUUCAUUUUCUAUUUAAAAAAAUAAAAAUAAAAAACUCUGUAGAUUUAGAUCUAAGUUUAGAUUUUAUUGUUUGAUUUAAGUUUUAAAUCUUAUCUUAAUUUAUUGUUUGAUAUUUAGAUAGAUUGUUGGUGAAAAUGAGACUAAUAUAUGGCAUAUGUAAUUACUUUGACGACGUCCAUAGAUCAGAUUUUGAUUCGGUUCAAUAAUUUGAUUGUUAUUGAAGAUCUAAUCAAUAAAUUAUUAAUGGUUGGAAUUCUAUAAUUUAUUAACUGAAUAAAUUGGAUAUGGGUUAUUCAUCGGGUUUACACGCUCGGAUAACUAAAUAGUCCUAUACAUUAAUUUAUCCUUCCAACCAGAGAAGUUGGAUCCAUCAAAUCUAUCUAACUUCACAAAGUCUUCAUUCAUAACCUUGAACAUAGUGUUGUUUGAUAUAGUCUCCAUGCAGAUUGUUGACACAAUGACCCAGAAAUUAACGUCGGCUAAGUUGUUGAAGAUAACCAGACCUUCUCAAGCGUUCUCAAGCGUGAUGACAAUGAAACUUAACUUCUUCAACGUGAUAACUCAAACAAAAUACAGAUUUUGGGACGUGUAUUCACUUUUGUUGAAGUAUUAUUUGUUAUCACAUCAUAUUGGAUCAGAUCAAAUUUGAAUUCAAAAUUUUAAUUUAA